UUUGUCCGGAUUUGGUGCGUUUUGUUGGCCCGAUUUGGUACGAUCAGCUAAAUCGGAUUGGCACUGCAGCGUUCAUACCACCAGGACGAUGAGGACACCAUUGGAAGAGCUCUUCUUGAAAACACAGAAAUGGAGACAGUAAAGGCAAUGCUAUAUAAAUUUUGGCAAAAAAGAGAAAAGGAAAGAAAGGAAGAGGAGACGUAAAGAAACUCAAAAGACCCAGACCGAGAAAGACCACAGACCCAGAAAAAGCACCGGCAAGAGGAAACCAAGCGUGACAUGUGUGAAGCUGAAAACGAAGACCUGCGACACUUCCUGCUCUGGCGCCCGGCAUAUGCAGAGGAAAGAAUAAAGUGCGUGAGGCUGCAACAGCCUUACGAGGAAGAAGAGGACGACACCAUUGGAAAAAUUUUAUUUGAAAAUGAACACACCGAACAAACGAAAAUAAACAGUACACAAGUUUUGGACAAUAAGAGGAAAAAAGAAUGAAAGAAAAAGGAAAACAAUAGACCCAGACAGUAGACACAUGAGGGAGUGCCGUUACAAAGGCAAAACUCCCGACCGACUACUACUACUAUUACACAUCAGGGAGUGCCGUUACAAAGGCAGGACUCCCGACCGACAACUCAACUCAACUCAACCAAAGAAGAUGAAGAAGUCGCCUGUCCUGCCUGUACCGCCCUUAGCCAUCCUCAGCGCCCUGCCAAGGAAGACAGGCCAACGAGCACAGAAGCCACACCCGUGAAUGCUGUCAUGGCCACUCUGCCGCACACCACCAGGGCGAGGAAUGCCUUCGAGAACAUGACAGUCCUUCAACAAUAAGAUGAGGCUACAGCUAUCACCAUCAACACAUCUCCCCUACCAUAUAUCAGUCCAUGGCCACCAUGGAUUUUCUAUAAUAGUGACCAAAAAAACUGACCACAUUUCAUUCACCUAAACUGGAUCACUCCCAACAGUGUCUGAAUCCCUGGCCAAAUGUCAGACACCCUGCAUGCCAACAGGCAAUCAGCACUGUCCUCACUCACUCCGCUAAGAGUUUGGGAUCCAGCUUGAGUGAAUGGACUAUAGCUUGGACCUCCCACCACAUCUCCACCUACACGUCAUCUCUGGUCUUCAGAAGUGUACGUAG